AUCUGAGGCCGCAGAUUCAAUAAAAAAUGCCUCAGAAUUAACCUUAACUCAUUUUAAUCAAGCUGGCAAAUUCAUAUUAUAGUUUCUUCUGUACUUAUUCCUAGACUGGCAUAAAAUACUUUAUUGAAAUCCAUUAUCAUUUACUUCUUUGGCCUUGCCAGCUACAUGAAGUCUGACAGGAAAUUCCAAGUGUGUUUACUACCAUCUCAAUGGCUUGCAAUGGAUCAACAAUCUCUUUUAUGUUAUCUUUCCUUAAAUCCCAAUCCGGCCUCUGCCUAAGGAUGAAAAAAAAAUCCAUAAGAGUAAAAAUUUCUAUGGCCUGGGAGGACCUCUCGACUGCAGAAAUUUCAGCUUUACAUGUGGAAGAUAUUCAGGAAAGAACCAAGAGGGCAAAGUCGCUUUAAAUCAUCAUCACCACCCAUCAGCAAGCAACUAUUCACAUGCCAUUUAGCAUCAAUGAAGCGUACCGAAAAGAGACGGACAGUAGCAGAUGCUAUACUAUU